rnacentral:rRNA from 1 species
CCCUUAGAUGUUCUGGGCUGCACGCGCGCCACACUGAAGCGUUCAACGAGUAUUCACCUUGCCCGGGAGGGUUGGGUAAUCUUUUGAAAACGCUUCGUGAUGGGGAUAGAUUAUUGCAAUUAUUAAUCUUCAACGAGGAAUUCCUAGUAAGCGCGAGUCAUCAGCUCGUGCUGAUUACGUCCCUGCCCUUUGUACACACCGCCCGUCGCUCCUACCGAUUGAAUGCUCAGGUGAGCCAUUCGGACUUUCAUCAUGCUGGUUUCCAGUUUUGAUGAAGGAAAGUCUUGCGAACCUUAUCAUUUAGAGGAAGGAGAAGUCGUAACA